UCUUUUUAUUUGCGGAGGCCUCGAAAAUCAACGAAAAAUUUCUUCAUCAGCCAAUUAAAUUAAUACUGAAUAUAGAUCAAAUACGAGUAAUUAAAUAAAAAAAAUAAAAGAUAAAAAUAAAAUAUGUCUUAUGUCUUUUGUCCUGGGGAGAUAUCAAAGAUUAACCGAGAAGUUUUACCAUUAUUCAAUUAAUUUAUUAAUAUCCUAGAAUAAAAUAAAAUCGAAACAUUCAAUUGAAAUUGUCUAACUUGGACCCAAAUUAAAAAAUGCAAUUUCUAAAAAAUAAACAAAUUGUAACAGUGAAUCAAAACCAGUAUAAAACAAAGCAACAAUGAACAAAGAUUACUAAAUAAUCAUAUGGAGUCACUGAAAAGUUUUUUUUUUUUUUUUUAAAUAAUGAAUCAUCAAAUGCACAAGAUUUAAUCUUGAAUAAACAUCAAUUGUGAGGAGUAAACAUUGGAAAACAAAAUCAAUAUGUCCAAAAAAAAAUCACGAAAAAGAUCAAGCAGCCAUGAAAACAAACAUACAUAGAUUGCCGGAGAGAAAUUCAAGCAAAAUCAACCCGAAAAUAAUAAAAUAAUGUAAAAAUUAUCCAAAAUAACAAUAGCGAUACUUCAAAUUUAUUUCCACAAAACACACAAAAUAAUGGUAAAGCGAAAAGAAGAAGAAUUCACCGGGGUUUAAGUUUUUCCGGUAACUUGGUCAUGGUUUCCGGCAAAAUCUGAAAAUAAACAGAAAAAAAUAAUCGCAGUCAAAAGGGAAUAGAUCACGCUUCAAAGGAUUUCACCGGAGCAACACCGAAGAGGUAUUUUCGGCCAGAUCUACCCGUUUUUCGGCGAGCAGUGACGGUAGUAGCAGUGUUGCGUUGAACCUCGAAUCUCGCCGGUCACAACCUCCAGCGAGGCAGCGGCGGGAGAUGACAGAAAGAGAGGAAGCUGGGGCGGCAGAUGGUUUUUGUUGGUGGCUGAAACUCGUCGGCCAUCAACUCCGGCAAGCCACGAAGAAAGUAAAUUAAUGGGGAAUUUGCAACCGGCGGUGAGAAAAAGGGAAAGGAGGUGGCGCUGGUUGGUGGCUGGAAAGAGAGGAGAGCAGAUGAGAGGGAGAGAGAGAAGCAGAUUUUAUGCGCGUAUUUGUGCGAACUCGAAAAUAAGUCACAAAAUUAAAAAAAAUUAUUAAAAUAGGUCAUUUAUUUAAAAAAUUAUCAAAAUAUACAAAUAUAAUAAAUUAUUAUUUUAUUUUUUUAAUAGUCAACAUAAUUUAUAAAAUAUAAUAAUUUAUUAUAUCAAAUGAUAUAGUUUAUAAUAAUUUAUUACAUUUUAUAAACAAUGUUUGUAAAACAUAAUAAUUUAUUACAAACUACAAACAAUGUUUGUAAGUUAUAAUAAAUUAUUACAACUUACAUCUUUAUAUCUACCCACAUCACAUCAUUUUUACUUUUUCCAUUUUUAAAUUUAACCCAACCCAACCCACCCCACAUAGAAUCCUCCCACCCCACCCUACAUAAAAUCCUUCCACCCCACCUAUUAAUAAUUUUACAAAUUAGAACCUUAUUAUUACAAUUCAAAAAUUGUAACUAUUUAUUACAUUUUUAAUUCAAAAAAAAAAUUAAAAAAUUAUUGUUUCAUUUUGUUAAUUCAAGUACUACUUAACCCACUUUUUUGACUUUUUCUCAUAAAUAGUACUAAAAAAUUACUUUUUAUAAAUAAAUUUUAAAAAAAAAAAACAUAAAGAUUUCAUCAUUGCCCAAAGUUAUUUAUUGUAUUACACAUUUGUAUACAUAAUAUCCGUCUUUUUAUUUGCGGAGCCCUCGAAAAUCAACGAAAAAUUUCUUCAUCAGCCAAUUAAAUUAAUACUGAAUAUAGAUCAAAUACGAGUAAUUAAAUAAAAAAAAUAAAAGAUAAAAAUAAAAUAUGUCUUAUGUCUUUUGUCCUGGGGAGAUAUCAAAGAUUAACCGAGAAGUUUUACCAUUAUUCAAUUAAUUUAUUAAUAUCCUAGAAUAAAAUAAAAUCGAAACAUUCAAUUGAAAUUGUCUAACUUGGACCCAAAUUAAAAAAUGCAAUUUCUAAAAAAUAAACAAAUUGUAACAGUGAAUCAAAACCAGUAUAAAACAAAGCAACAAUGAACAAAGAUUACUAAAUAAUCAUAUGGAGUCACUGAAAAGUUUUUUUUUUUUUUUUUAAAUAAUGAAUCAUCAAAUGCACAAGAUUUAAUCUUGAAUAAACAUCAAUUGUGAGGAGUAAACAUUGGAAAACAAAAUCAAUAUGUCCAAAAAAAAAUCACGAAAAAGAUCAAGCAGCCAUGAAAACAAACAUACAUAGAUUGCCGGAGAGAAAUUCAAGCAAAAUCAACCCGAAAAUAAUAAAAUAAUGUAAAAAUUAUCCAAAAUAACAAUAGCGAUACUUCAAAUUUAUUUCCACAAAACACACAAAAUAAUGGUAAAGCGAAAAGAAGAAGAAUUCACCGGGGUUUAAGUUUUUCCGGUAACUUGGUCAUGGUUUCCGGCAAAAUCUGAAAAUAAACAGAAAAAAAUAAUCGCAGUCAAAAGGGAAUAGAUCACGCUUCAAAGGAUUUCACCGGAGCAACACCGAAGAGGUAUUUUCGGCCAGAUCUACCCGUUUUUCGGCGAGCAGUGACGGUAGUAGCAGUGUUGCGUUGAACCUCGAAUCUCGCCGGUCACAACCUCCAGCGAGGCAGCGGCGGGAGAUGACAGAAAGAGAGGAAGCUGGGGCGGCAGAUGGUUUUUGUUGGUGGCUGAAACUCGUCGGCCAUCAACUCCGGCAAGCCACGAAGAAAGUAAAUUAAUGGGGAAUUUGCAACCGGCGGUGAGAAAAAGGGAAAGGAGGUGGCGCUGGUUGGUGGCUGGAAAGAGAGGAGAGCAGAUGAGAGGGAGAGAGAGAAGCAGAUUUUAUGCGCGUAUUUGUGCGAACUCGAAAAUAAGUCACAAAAUUAAAAAAAAUUAUUAAAAUAGGUCAUUUAUUUAAAAAAUUAUCAAAAUAUACAAAUAUAAUAAAUUAUUAUUUUAUUUUUUUAAUAGUCAACAUAAUUUAUAAAAUAUAAUAAUUUAUUAUAUCAAAUGAUAUAGUUUAUAAUAAUUUAUUACAUUUUAUAAACAAUGUUUGUAAAACAUAAUAAUUUAUUACAAACUACAAACAAUGUUUGUAAGUUAUAAUAAAUUAUUACAACUUACAUCUUUAUAUCUACCCACAUCACAUCAUUUUUACUUUUUCCAUUUUUAAAUUUAACCCAACCCAACCCACCCCACAUAGAAUCCUCCCACCCCACCCUACAUAAAAUCCUUCCACCCCACCUAUUAAUAAUUUUACAAAUUAGAACCUUAUUAUUACAAUUCAAAAAUUGUAACUAUUUAUUACAUUUUUAAUUCAAAAAAAAAAUUAAAAAAUUAUUGUUUCAUUUUGUUAAUUCAAGUACUACUUAACCCACUUUUUUGACUUUUUCUCAUAAAUAGUACUAAAAAAUUACUUUUUAUAAAUAAAAAAAUGCUUAAUUAAAAAUUUUAUUUUACAAAAAUGUAAUCCUUUUGUGACUAUUAAUUACGUUUUUAGUCCAACAAAAUUCAACUAAGGCAUUUUUAAUUAUUCAGUCCUUGUGUAUGAGUGGUCACAUCAAUAAUUAUACAUUCAACUGAUAAAUUUAGAAAAGAAUGUAAUUUUUCACUACGUUUUUGUAAAAUGAAAUUUUUAAUUAAGCAAUUUUUUAUUUAUAAAAGGUAACUUUUUAGUAGCCGUUUGGCUAUAAAAACUAAAAUUUUUCGGAGUUGGAGUUGGAGUUGUGUUUGACCAUAUUUUUUUGAAAUUUUUUUUUGACUUUUGAAAAAACUUUUUUAAAUAUGAUUUUAUGCCCUAACUUUUACAAACUAUCAAAAUCACUCAACUAAAAUUUACCUACUAAUGAAAAAAGAACACAAUUAGUUACUAUUACAAAAAUAAUUACAUAUACAUUGGUCAUAUUUAAUGAAUUUCAAUUAUGUCAUAUAUAAUAUUUACAUUAAUAGCCGUUUUCUCAUAUUUAAGAAAUUUAAAUAUGGAUGUUAUAUUAACAAAUCACUGCUUCCUGUUUUUUAGGUAAUAAAUAUUAUCUUUCAAACAAAUUUAUUUUUUUAGGAAUUUAUUUAAUUUAUUUCCUUCAUUUUCCGUUCCUAAAAAAUAGGAAAGGAUGAGUUGUUAUUAAAUUUUAGGGAGCCGCUAAUUUAUUUUUAAAUUUUCUUAUACAUGAAAGAUUUUACUGUGUGUGAAUAAAUUAUUUCUACGUAAAACAUGUUUUGCAUAUUUAUGGUAUAUUAUAUCAUAUACCAUAAAUAUAUAAAUAUGCUUAGUAUGUUUCUUUAUACUUUGUAUUUUUAUAUAUGUGUGUAUAUGGUAUAUACAUGGUAUAAACUUCAUAUAUAACAUACUUUGUGUAUUUAUAUUAUAAAUAUGCUUAGUAUGUUUCUUAAUACUUUGUAUGUUUCUAUAUGUGUGUAUAUGGUAUAUACAUGGUAACUUUAUAUAUAACAUACUUUGUAUAUUUCUAUUAUAAAUAUAGUACUUUAUAUAUUUAUGGGUAUAAAUAUAAAAAACAUUAAAUUUGGAAUUAUAAUUAUCUUAUUCUUUAAAACUGCUAUAUACGUAAUAUUGAAAAAGUAACGUUAUAAGGAGAGUUUUAUUUAAAAAUUUAAAAGAUUGGGGUUAUAUGUAAAUAAUAAUAAAAGUUGAAAUUGGAGUUGGAAAAUUUUGAAAACAACAAAAAGCUGUUUUCCCUUUUCAGAAAUUUUUUUCGAAAUUAUUUUUUGAAUUUUCAUGGUCAAACACUACAAUUUCCAACUCCGAAAAAUUUUUUCGUAAAAGACAAAAAUUUCCAUGGUCAAACGGGCCCUUAAUACUAUUUAUGAAAAAAAGUCAAAAAAAAAGGGCUAGAUAGUACUUGAAUUAACAAAAUGAAGCAAUAGCUUUUUUUAAAUUUUUUUGGACUAAAAAUGUAAUUAAUAGUUAUGUACAAUUUUUGAAUUGUAAUAACAAAGUUCUAAUUUGUAAAGGUAUUAAUAUGUAGGGUGGAAGGGUUCUACGAGGGGUGGGGUGGGAGGUUUCUACGUGGGAUUAGGUGGGAAGGUUAUACAUGGGGUAGGGUGGGUUAAAUUUAAAAGUGAAAAAAAUAAAGGUGAUCUGAUGUGGGUAGGUAUAAUGGUGUAAGUUAUAAUAAUUUAUUACAACUAAAAACAUUGUUUAUAGUUUGUAAUAAAUUAUUACGUUUUACAAACACUGUUUGUAAAAUAUAAUAAUUUAUUAUAAACUACAUGAUUUGACAUAAAGAAGAUGUGAUAGCACACUGUUUUUUUUUUGUGAAAAAUAUAAUAAUUUAUUACGUUUUACAAACCGUGUUGACCGUUAAGAAAAAAGUGAAAAACGUAAUAAUUUAUUACAUUUAGCCUAUUUUGGUAGAUUUUUAAAUAGGUGACCUAUUUUGGUCACUUUUUUUAUUUUGUGACGUAUUUUGGUUCCGAGUUCUAUUUGUGCAUCGGUGUGUGUAUAAAAAUUAUACCCCUCUCCUUUUUAAUAAUACAAAACAAAAUUCCUUUUUACCCAAAAAAUUAAAAACUAACCCUUUUUCUUUAUUUAAAAAAAUAAAAAAUAUCUCUUUUAACCAUUUAAUAAUAUAUAUUGAUCAAAGGGUAAAAGAUCUAAUCAGUCAUCUCAAUUGUCAUCUUUAAAAAAAAUGAUAUGAUUUGACUUGAUUGAUUCAUUGUCCUGUGUACUAAAAUAAUUAAACGACUUACAUUUGCAGGUCGUAUUAAAUAAUGUAUAAAAAUAUGAAUCUCAAUAUAUAAUUACAGAAAAAUAUAAAAAUAAAUAAAAAAUAUAAUUAUCUUAAAUUUUUUUACUAUACUAUAAAUAAUUAAAAUUAUACUAUGCAGUAAAGAAUUACAGUGCUAUGUUGUGUACGUAUGCACAUGGUUGUGAAAAAAUUUAAAAUGAUAAUAAACUGCUGAAAAUUUUAAAAUUUACAAAAUUAAGGAUAAUUAUCAAUAAAUUAUGCACAGUUAAAAUAUGACAAUAAAUUGACAAAACAUCACAAAAUAAUAAAGUUUUUAAUAAUUUAUUAAAAUUUAUAAAAACAAAUGAAAAAUUGCAUUUUAUACAUUUAAAUGAUCAGGAAGCCUGAAUGCACUAAUUUUAAGCAUGAAAAGCUAAAAUUUGGUGUCAAUAGUUUGCACCUUCUCGUUUGAAGAUAAUGUAAAAGUUUUCAAACAAAAACGUUGACGUGUAGCCAAUUUCGCUCGAUAAAAAAAAUCGAUAAAAAAUUUGAGUGAACUCCAAUUUAGGUUGCCUACAUUGUUUGAGUUGCAUGAGGAUUCGGUUGGGUAUAGCUCAAAAGCUAUCCCAACAUGUCCUAAUUUGGGUUUGGGAAACCCAAUGCAUCCUUGAAUUCUUUGCAUGCAAAAUUUAUAAAACUGAAAAGAAGAAGAAUAACGAGUAACUAAGCUUGAUUUUUUUUUUCAAGAAAUUCAAAAAAAUGACAUGUAAUGCUUUAACUAAUGUAAAGAUAAAUAAAUAAACGCAUUUCACAAUUUUAACCAAAGAUAAGUAAAAUAUUCAACUGAAGGCAAACACACAAAGGUCUAACUAGAGAACGGACUAACGCAAAAUAUCCUAUUUUAGGGUGAACAAACUCAAUUCAUGCUUGCAAAAUUUUUAGAAAAAACUAAAGUGAUUUUUUUUUCUUUUUUCUUUUUUGUUUUUCUUUUUUUUCUCUUUUUUUUUUUUGAGAAAUUAAAGAUAGCAUGCAGCGUUUAACUAAAUAAGAAAAAAAAUGGUACAUGCAAAGAUAGUAUUCAGUGCUUAAAUGAUAAAAUAAGUACAUUGCGAUAGAGAAAAGACAUCAAAACCCCCUUGAACUUAUCGCCAAAACUUACUUUAGAUCCUAAACUAAUCGGACAAUUAUUUACCCCAUUAAUAACUUUCAACUGAAUUUUUAACCACCCUAAUUACUGACAUGACAAUUUUUUUAAAAAUCAUCCGUUAAUGGCUAAAAAAAUGUGAAGAAGGUGGGGCCCACCUUUAAAAUUUUUACAAUUUUUUUAUAUCGAACAAUUAUUUACCCCCUUAACAACUUUCAAGUGAAUUUUUUACCACCCUAAUAACUGACGUGGCAAUUUUUUUAAAAAUCAGCGCGUUAAUGGCUAAAAAAAUAUGAAAAAAGGUGGGGCCCACCUUUUAAAUUUUACAAAUUUUCUCUCUGUCUGUCUGUCUGUCUCUCUCUCUCUAUAUAUAUAUACAUACAUAUAUAUAUAUAUAUAUAUAUACAUAUAUAUACUAGAGGAGCAUGGCCCGUGUCAUCACGGGUCCAACAUUAAGAUAUUUAUUUGUCUUUUCAAUCUUAAUAUAUUUAAAUAAAUUUUUUUAAUAAAAGGAUUGCAUAUGUUUUCUAGGAUUCAUCCGUAAUCUAGCAUGAGUUCAACAUAUGUUAUUUUAAUAUGUAUUUAGAUAAUUUCAAUUAUUAACUAUUGUAAUUUAUAAUAUUUGUUAUGUAAUUUUCAAAUUAAUAUAAGUUACUUUUCUUGUCUAAAUUUUUGUGGCAUUGAUAGUCAAUUAUAUUUUAAAAAUAAUUUAAAUUUUUAAUUAUUGUGAUUUAUAUUACUUUUCUUCUAUUCCAAUUUCAAUAACACCAAUAUAAUUUCAAGAGUCGAUCAAAUAUUUUAUAUCUUUAAAAUUUUUUAAGUUGUUAAUUAUUGUGAUUUCAAGUAUUUUUCAUGUAAUUUUUUUGAAAUAUAUAACAUAUUAAAUUAUUUUUAGAUAUUUUAAGUUGUUAAGAAUUGUAAUUUAUAAUACUUUUUAUAUAAUUUUGAAUAAUAUAUGCUACUCUUCUUGUCCAAAAUUUUAUGUCGACGACAGCCAAUAAUAUUUUUUAAAUAAUUUAAAUUUUUUAUCAUUGUGAUUUAUAAUAUUUUUUAUAUCUCAACUUAUAUGGCACAAUGCUUAAAUGACCAUAAUAAUUAAUCAGGGGUGAUAUAGUAAAAUCACGACUGAAGCAGCUGAAGUAGAAAUCAGUCAAUUUUUAAAAUUUUUUUUGUUAAUUAUUGUUAUUUAUAGUACUNNNNNNNNNNNNNNNNNNNNNNNNNNNNNNNNNNNNNNNNNNNNNNNNNNNNNNNNNNNNNNNNNNNGUGGCACUAAUAUAAUUUUGAUAGUCAAUCAAAUAUUUUAUGUUGACAUAUCAUUUUGUUAUUCUUUUUUUUCUAGUACAUAAAUGACUUAUAACAAGGAGUAAUAUAGUAAAAUCACCGUUCGAAAGAUGAAAAUUUAAUUUAAAAUAUUAAGAGUUAAUUUCGUAUUUUAUGUCUAUUUUAUUUUUCAUUAAAUACUAUUUAUUUUCUUAAUACCUAGAUUACUCAAAAUAAUUAAUUAAGAGCGAUUGGUUAUGUUAUUAUUAUAAAAAUUAAUAUAAUUUUAUCAUAUCUAAUAGUAAUCAUCGAUAAUUCAUCGGAAUAGUAUAUUAAUUAAAUAUGGGAUGUUAUAUUUGCAUAUGCAAAAUAUGAUAUUAUUAAACAUUAUUGGAUAGUGCAUUAUAUUUAUCUUUCACAAUAAUAAAAUUUUAAUUUUGAGAGUUGAAUAGAACUUUUAUCUAUUUUUAAAAAAGUAUUUUAACUUGUUAAUUAUUGUGAUUUAUAAUAAUUUUUACGUAAUUAUCAAAUAAUAUAUUUACUCCUUGUGUCUCAAUUUAUGUGGCUUCGAUACAAUUUUGAGAGUCAAUUAAAAUUUUUAUAUAUCUUUUAAUAUUUUAAGUUGUUAAUUAUUAUGAUUUGUAAUACUUUUUCUUUUAUUUCAAUUUAUGUGGCAUUACUAAAAUAAUAAGAGUCAAUAAAAAUUUAAUAUGUCUUUUAAAUAUUUUAAGUUAUUAAUUAUUGUGGUUUGUGGUAACAAAUUAGUUUUGAACAUGAUAGCCAAUUAAAUAAAUAAAUAAUUUUUACUUCCAAUAUAUAGUUAUAGUUAAUUAAUAUAAAUUAAUAGAAUAUAUUAAAUAUUUAAAUUAUUAUGAUGAAACAAUGGAAUUAUUAUAUAUUGGGGCAUGGUAUGUAAUUAAGUGGGAGUAGAGGGGUUUUUUGGUAAGAGUCAAUAAAAUUUCUAUAUGUCUUUUAAAUAUUUUAAGUUAUUAAUUAUUGUNNNNNNNNNNNNNNNNNNNNNNNNNNNNNNNNNNNNNNNNNNNNNNNNNNNNNNNNNNNNNNNNNNNNNNNNNNNNNNNNNNNNNNNNNNNNNNNNNNNNNNNNNNNNNNNNNNNNNNNNNNNNNNNNNNNNNNNNNNNNNNNNNNNNNNNNNNNNNNNNNNNNNNNNNNNNNNNNNNNNNNNNNNNNNNNNNNNNNNNNNNNNNNNNNNNNNNNNNNNNNNNNNNNNNNNNNNNNNNNNNNNNNNNNNNNNNNNNNNNNNNNNNNNNNNNNNNNNNNNNNNNNNNNNNNNNNNNNNNNNNNNNNNNNNNNNNNNNNNNNNNNNNNNNNNNNNNNNNNNNNNNNNNNNNNNNNNNNNNNNNNNNNNNNNNNNNNNNNNNNNNNNNNNNNNNNNNNNNNNNNNNNNNNNNNNNNNNNNNNNNNNNNNNNNNNNNNNNNNNNNNNNNNNNNNNNNNNNNNNNNNNNNNNNNNNNNNNNNNNNNNNNNNNNNNNNNNNNNNNNNNNNNNNNNNNNNNNNNNNNNNNNNNNNNNNUAUAUAUAUAUAUAUAAAACUAAAGAAAAAAAACAAGAACUCAACUUCCAUUUUCUUCUUUGUAACAAUCCCCUUCCUCACCCCCACCCCGUUUCUUCAUUUUCUUCGUACCACCAUCCCGUUUCUUCGUCUUCUUCAUAACCCCCUUCUAACCAAGUCCAAAUUGAUCCAAAACUUAUUUUUUCAACAACCAAAAAGGACAAGAUUGAUGAACAAGUUUGGUUCUUGGCCAACUAUUCCAUGUCAUGCGAAUACCAUCAAUGCCACUUCUAAAUUUGGGACUGGUUGUGUCAUUUCUAUUGAUAUUUUUUAGUAAAAGAUUGAGAAUUUGGGAGUUUUGGAAUUUUGAGUUUUGGUUAACGUGAAGGAAUUUGACUUUGAAAUUUUGUGUAUUGGUGUAUUUUGGAUUGGAAUUUUGGAUUGAGAAUGGCUCUGUGUGGAAUUUUGCGAUGAACUCAUGAUUUUUGUGUAUUGAAAUUUUUAUUUUUGAAGCAAAUCAUCACCACAAUUCAUUUUUCGAACUCUAAAAAAAAUAGAUAUCUUGUUUUGUCAUAUCUACAUUACAGAAGCACAAACAGAAAAAGAAAGAUCACAUAUAAUUUAUUUUUCAAUUUUUGAGCUAAAGAGUUGUUGAAUAGAGCAAAAAGAAAUCAAAGGGUUGUUGAAUAGAGCAAAAGGAAUUCCUAGGCAUAUUGAAGAUGGUCAACCACACUAAAAAUGACUCUAUUUGAAAUUUUGUCUUCUCUAAUUUACCAUCCACUUUAAAUUGAUCUACUUCCCAAAUUUGAUGAAUUUAAUUUUGUAUAAUUUUUAUUAGAGGGCCACGUCAUUUUUUAUUUUAUUUUUAAAAAAAUUAAUUUUCUUUUUAAAAUUUUUUUGAUCCAUUAAAAAGAAUCCACCCAAUUUUUUGAUCCAUUAAAAAUUAAUUUGAUCUAUACUUUUAAAAUUUGAUUAAUUUUUCAUGAUCAAAAAAAUAUUUAAAGAAUUUUUUUUGAAAAUCUACUACUAAAAUUUAUAACCAAACGUUAUUCUAAUUAAGCAUAUAGUAUGUCUUAGCGUACAUGAAAUAUUUUGUCAGUCGAAUGUAAGUAACUUUUUAUUUUUUUAUUUUUUUAUUAAGCAUAGAAUGGCAUCAUCAUCAUCAGGGGCGGCUCAAGCAAAUUUAUGGCCUCAGGCAAAAAUCAAACGGAAGCCUUGCGUUUUAUUUUUUUAUAUAAAUUUUUUAUUUUUUCUAUAAAUAGUAUUUAAUAUACUUCUUAAAAUUUGUAAUUUAUUAUUAAUAAACAAAAAUAGGCCCCUUAAAUUUUGGGGUCUUAGGCGGCCGCCUUUUCUCCUAAAGGGUUGAGCCGCCCCUGAUCAGCAUUCAACAUUUGUACGUAACACUUUAUGCAUCAUCAUUUAUCAUUGCAAAAAUAGGAAGGCGGCAACAUGCCGACAUAUAUAGUAUAUGUAAAGUUGGCAAAAUGAGAAGCUAACUAUUAAUAAUAUAAUAAUAUUAUUUGAUGUUUAUAUCAGUUUCAACUGAAAAAUAACAAAAGCUUUAGUUAACGUGAAUCUUUUUUAAAAAAAUAAAGUGAUAAAAAGCAUGGAGUGUAUACUCUCUCCGUUCCCUUUUAUUUACUCACCCAUCAAUUAAAAUAACUAUUUUAUUAUAAUAUAUUUAUUAAAUUAUGUUUACUAUUGUAUUUGUAAUUAAUUUGAAGAAAAAAAUAAUUAAUAUUAAAGGUAAAAUAUGAAAACAAUCUUAAUAUGUCAAAAAUGACAAAAAAACGAAUCAAACGAGAAUGUUUUAAGAAUAUAUUCAUGAAAAAUUAAUCAAAUUUUAAAAGCAUAGAUCAAACUAAUUUUCAAUGGAUCAAAAAGUUGCGUGGAUUCUUUUUAAUGGAUAAAAAAAAAUUAAUUUUUUUUAACAAAAAUAAAUUAAAAAAAUGGUGUGGCCCUCUAAUAAGUUGCCAUGUGGCAAGAUUGCUUUUAAAAAUCAUCUGUUAAAAAGUAAUGACAUGAAUGAGCCGAUUUUAUAACAGCGAUGGCAUGAAUGAGCCCAACUUUUAAUGGAUGGUAUAAAUGAGCCAUUUCUGAUAGUUCAGUGGCAUAUUUGAGCCUUUUCCCUUGAAAAAAUAACUGUAGCAACUGGUUAAGUUGCUGCCAUGUGACCAGGAGGUCACGGGUUCAAGUAUUGGAAAUAGCCUCUGGCAGAAAUGCAAGGUAAGGAUGUGUACGAUACACCCUUGUGGUGGGGCCCUUCCUCGGACACCGCAUAUAUUGGUAGCUUUAGUGCACCGAGCAUCCCUUUUCUUAAUAUGUGCCAGAUAAAGGCAAAAAUGACAUGCAAUGCUUAAAUGAUAAAAAUAAAUAAAUGCAUUGCGAUGUGUGCAAAUAAAAAUAAAGAGACCAUGUGGUGCUUAAAUAAUAAAAUAAAUGCAUUGCAAUAUAUGUCAGAUAAAGACAAAAACGACAUCCGGUGCUUAAAUGAUAAAAUAAAUGCAUUGCGAUAUUUGUGAGGCGUGCAGUGCCUAAAUGAUAAAAUAAUGCAUUGCGAUAUCUGCGUGCAAUGCUUAAAUGAUAAAAACAUUACGAUAUAUGCAGGCAAAUACAAAGAUAACAUGCGGUGUUUAAAUGAUAAAAUAAAUGGAUUACGAUAUGUGCAAAUAAAUGCAAAGAUAAUAUGCAGUGCUUAGAUACAUUGCAGAUGCAAGUAAAUGCAAAGAUAGAAUACAAUGCUUAAAUGAUAAAAUAAAUGUAUUGUGAUGUGUGCAAAUAAAGGCAAAGAUAACAUGCAGUGCUUAAAAUGAUGAAAUAAAUAAUUGCGAUGCGUGCAAGUAAAGACAAAGAUAGACUAUAAAAUCAAUGCAUUGCAAUGGGGGCAAAUAAAGGCAAAGAUAAAAUGCGAUGCUUAAACCAUAAAAUAAAUGUAUUGCGAUGCAUGUAAAUAAAAACAAAGAUAAAAUGUCGUGCUUAAAUGAUAAAAUAAAUACAUUGUGGCAUGUGCAAGCAAAGGCAAAAAAAAAAAUACAGUGUUUAAAUAAUAAAAUAAAUGCAUAAUGAGAUGUGAAAAUAAAGGCAAGAAAAAUAUGCAAUGCAAAUGAUAAAAUAAAUAUAUUGUGAUGCAUGCAAGUAAAGGCAAAGAUAACAUAUAGUGCCAAAAAAAUAAAUGCAAUGCGAUAUAUACAAGUAAAGUCAAGCAAGUAUAAAUAUUAAAUUAAAGAAAAACAUGAAUAACUGUCUUUUGGAGGGCAGACUGACCCAAUUAUCUUCUUUUAGGGUGGACAAACCCAGGUAAAAAAAUGAAUAUUGGGCAAAGAAAUAUUUGGGAAUAAAAGUAUUCACAUAUUCUCGAUGUUGCUUUAAAAUUGCUUCAGUAUCGAGCUGUGAGAUGCUGGGGAAUGCAAAAUUGUGUACUUGCUGGGGAGAAAGAAUUGAUUAUGAAAUUGUGGUGAUCGAACUCUGCAUAGAGCUUCCUACAUAUAUCGAGUGUCACGAGAAUUAGGUCAAUGUAGAUCAAAAUAAGAAAAGAGACUAAAUUUUGAGGUUGUUCUCGAAAUUUACCCCAGUGUAUGAUUUAUGGCUAACACUGUCUCUUUGAAAAAAAUCUUGAAAAGAUGUAUGAUGUCUCCCGAUUAUCUACGGGGACUUCAGAAUGAAGUCUUCGAUUGUCUACGAAGAUUGAGGUGCUCAACUAGUGAGGUGAUUGAACUGUAAUAGCUUCUCAACUGGCGGGGCUAUUGAAAUGAACAAGACUUCUUGGUUGUAAGAACAAAUGUAAUAGCAUCUCGAUUGGCAAGACUAUAAAAAAUGUAAAAAAUACUCAAAAAUGGGUGCUUGACUGAAAAAUAAAAUGUCGGUAUUUGAAGGUAUGUGCUUGAAAGAAAAAGUCAAAUGCCCGUAUUUUAAAACUGGGGACCUUGAAUAAAAAGUAAAAAAUGCAUGUAUGUAAAAGUGGACACCUUUAAUGAAAGAUAAAACAAAUUCCCGUAUAUGAAAGUAAGCGUCUUGAAUUUUUUUUUUUGUAUUUUCUAAAUAAAAAGUGCCGAAAGAUAAAAAAAGGCACGAUCAUGUCUUGGCUUCAGUUGGUAUCAAUAAUUAGUAGUGUGCAUAAGUAUUCUCCCAUCUCCUUUCCAGCAUAACCGAGAUCGACUUCAAGGUAACUCCUAUAGUUUCAAAUGGUAUCUCAGACAUACCUAAGUAUCGACAAGAUUUGUUCGUCUUGCUUCAAAUAAAGGAUUGAGCUAUGCUUAUUCUCAUGUUUCAAGUGUCCUCCAGAAAGAAAGUUUCAUUUCGCACAUAUUUGAGUAAAAAAAAUAUCUCAUUUCGCACAUAUUUGAGUAAUUUUUUUUUGAAUUUAGGGACAGUUAGAGAAAUACACUCACACUCGAAAAGAAAUUCAAUGCAUGCAAUUGUGAUACCAUAGGCUUGACCUUUAUGUAAGUAUCCACUACUAUGAGAACACUUGAAAUAGGAUAUCAUAGGACUUGUUAUCGGCUUAUAAUGCUGGUUUGGGGAUGGGUAGGAUAAUAUUUGGGACAAAAGUGAUUAAUUCCUCAAUGACCAUUGCACUGCAUUUGUGCUUUCAACAUUUGUUGCGCUUUGACGCGAGAUCUUCUUUGUUGUGAUGUGUUGCCCCUCGUUUUGUAUUUGCUUCGACUUCUUUUAAACCUUGUGUUGGAGUUUUCCCUUUUUUUCUACAAACUAUAUUUUUUUUUGUUUUUUUUUCUUUCCUUUUUAUUUGUGAGGGGGUCUCAUUCUGAAGUCGUUUUUUAAUUUUUGUUCAUCUGGGACAAUAUAUCCUUUGCAUUUUGCCACUUUGAUCUUGAAUCUUUAUCCGUAAUUUGCACGUAUUUAGUACGCUCAAGGAGGUAGAACCAAAAGAGGGAUAGUGCAUGUAAGCACUCAAAAAGGUAUAAGCUUAGAUGCGGUUGUCCGAAGAAAAAGUUUUAAGCUCAGAAAGAGGAAAUGCUAGGGAUUAAUGUCAUUUGAUGGGCUAUGAAAGGCACAAUCGGGUCAAAAAAGGCCUACGAUCUUUUCCUAAAUCAAGUGUAACUUAAAAUUUUUCCUCAAUAGAUAUUUAGGCCAAGCUCUAGAUCAACAAACCCAAUGCAAUGAAUUAAACUAAAGCUCACCACAUAAUGCAUUUGAAACGAUGAGGUUGGCUUUAUUCUUGUCUUAGAUGUAUGCAAGGGAAUUUUUUUAAGCGUUACUCAAGUGUGAUAAAAGGUACCAAAAGAAUCUAUAGUUUACCAUGAAGUCAGUCCUUUCAUCAUACCAAUUUACUUUCUCAUGCACACUCCUAACUUUAUUGGUACCAAUCAAGUCGAUUUUUUCAUUUAAAAAAGAAUUAGACCGAACCCAAAUGAGAGUUGCCUGCAUAUUUUGUGAAUACAAGAAUCAGGUCUGCGUAGUUCAGGAAAAUUUAUGAAUUUGUAUGUGCAAUGUAUGAUUAAAAAAGUGAUUAUAAACCUUGAAAAUAAUAUGAAGACGACCAGAAAAAAACUGCUUUUAGUGUCAAAAUCAUUUCGAUCACAUGAUCGAGAGGACGAAUGUCAAGUAUGGGGAGAGCUUUAAUACAACUUCAGUAUGCUGACAAGAUUGAAAAAGUCUGAUAUUAAAGGAAUUAUGACAUUAUUUCUCCGCAGUUGGUAGGAUUAUUAUAACUGAAAAAAUAUUGAACCCUUGCUUUUGAAAGUGAGGAUUGAUACGCCAUAAAUUUAAUGAUUCGCAGCGUUCGAAAGAAAAAGCUAGGUAUUCUCGCACAAAAAUCAGGUGAGUAUCUGAAAGUAGGCCGGCUAGGCACUAAUGUUAUUAAGAUUUGGAUUUGAGGAGCUAUUGAUUGUGCUCUUGAAGAAUUUGGAGAGCAUUUUUGAACCGUUUCAGAAUAUUGCUCCAUUUUUGAAUACCAGAGAAACUAUUCUAAAACAGUAAAGAGACCAAACCCUAAUGCAGGUUUGCCUAUGUAUCUUGUCAGGACAAGAAUCAGGUCAAAACGUAAUUCAAACCUAUAAGCAGCUAUCGACAAUAUUGUUAAGUUGCAUUUUUUAACUGAUCCGCUAUGCAAAAUAAAGGUUAGACUACACUUUCUCACUAAAGUAUAAUAAAGUUAGAGAAAAUAAAUAUGUACAGACACAAUAAUCCUUCAAAUAUAUACAAAGAUUAUAAUAAUGUGUCACGUGAGUUGUGAAACCUUCGAACAUAAAGUUGAAUAAUGAUGCAUGCGCCUAAAAAGGUGUUGUUUUAGCUCUAUCCUAUGUUCGACUAAGAGUGAUUUGCUAGACCUGUGGUUCUCGAGUAGAUUACUUGAGUGAGAAGGCUACGCAGGCACACAGAAAAAGAUCCAGAUACCUCGCGCAUACACCAACUCUCCUAAAAUUUAGGAUUUUGAAAGAAAUUUGUGGGUGCGCAAAACACACCUCACUUGUAUGUGUGAUUGUGUCAGCUUUCUCAAAUGGAAGAAAUAUGAAUGGAAUGAACGUUUAUAUAAAACAAUAAAUAAAUAAGUAAGCUGUACAAAACAAAUAACAAUUUAUGCUACACAAACAGGAUAAAUCAAGACAAUUAGAAAGAAACAAAUAAUAAUGUAGAAAAAUAUAAAUAUUUACCUAAAUCUGUAAUGGUUAGAACCUUGAUUCCCCAGCAGAGUCGUCAAACUGUCAUACCCUAUUUUUACCUAAGGUCAAAACGAGCACGAUAUUAUAAACUCUAAAAGAAUUGAUUUUAUACAGAGUUGCCACCUAAUUUUUAAGAAAAAUAAGAAAACCUAUUUAUUUAUUUAUUAACAAGUAUAACUUUAUUUCAUCUACGAAAUCAUUUUAGAUUUCAGAUAAGGAUUCAAAUUAUUCCAAAAGGAAAGAGGUUAGGCAUCCUUCAAAAUCCACAAAUGUGGUGUCCGACCAGACUUAAAUUUAUUAAAAAAUAAAGAAAAAAAUCAAUGUUUAUAAAUACAAUUAUAAAAUGUGUAUUAAAAUGAUAUAAAUAAUUUAUAUAUAAAUAAUGUAUAAAUUGCAUAUGCUAUCGUAAAAAUCAUAUGUAUAAGAAAUGUUGAAGAAAAACGAAAGUACAUGAGAAUAUGUAUUAAAAAUGAAAAGAUUGAAUGUAGAAAAAAUUUGCUCUAAAGAAAAGAUUACGUAAUAUUUUAGUGUAAAAAAUGUGAAUUAUUCAAUUAAAUAUCUAAAUCAAUUUAAUUCUUUUAUAUAAAUUGUAAUGGCCUAAAUUUGCCUAUACUCACUGAAGAUUGUAUAAAUAACGAAUAUCCCCACUCAAUGCCCCAAAAAUAAAGUUUUCACUAUGAUAAUAUUUGUACAAGUAUAAGAAGAUAAAAAUAUAAUGCAAAAUUUAAAGUCUUCUAUGAAUGCUGUUUCCGACGAGUAUUGUCAAUAACCUGUUUAAACACUUAUAAUAAAAAUGUUAGUAACAAAUAAAUAGUUAUAAAAGGGCAUGUAUGCAUAUAUGUAUUCAAAAUAUAUUUUUUGUUAAAAAAACAGGCUCAGAGAAAGUUUUUUAAAAAAUAAAAGAUUUCAUUAUUGCCCAAAUUUAUUUAUUUUAUUAAGUAUUUGUAUACAUAAUAUCCGUCGACUUUUUAUUUGCGGAGGCCUCAAAAAUCGACGAAAAAUUUCUCCAUCCGCCAAUUAAGUAGCCUUUUGACCAUAAAAACUAAAAUUUUUCGAAGUUGGAGUUAAAAUUAGAGUUGAAAUUAGAGUUGGAGCUGUGUUUGGCCAUGUCUUUUUUGAAAUUUCUUUUUUGACUUUUGAAAAAACUUUUUUAAAUAUGAUUUUAUACCCCAAUUUUUACAAACUAUCAAAAUCACCCAACUAAAAUUUAUCUACUAAUGAAAAAAGAACACAAUUAGCCACUAUAAUAAAAAUAAUUACAUAUACAUGACCAUAUUUAAUAAAUUUCAAUUAUGACAUAUAUAAUAUUUACAUUAAUAGCCGUUUUCACAUAUUUAAAAAUUUUAAAUAUGAAUGUUAUAUUAGCAGGUCACUGCCUCAUGUUUUUUAGAUAACAAAUAUUAUCUUUCAAAUAAAUUUAUUUUUUUAGAAAUUUAUUUAAUUUAUUUCCUUCAUUUUUCGUUCCUAAAAUAUAGGAAAUGAUGAGUUGUUAUUAAAUUUUAGGGUGCCCCUAAUUUAUUUCUUUAAUUUUCUUAUACAUGAAAGAUUUUACUGUGUGUAAAUAAAUUAUUUCUAUGUAAAAUAUGCUUUGCAUAUUUAUGGUAUAAUAUAUCAAAUACCAUAAAUAUAUAAAUAUGCUUAGUAUGUUUGUUUAUACUUUGUAUUUUUAUAUAUGUGUGUAUAUAGUAUAUACAUGAUAUAAACUUCAUAUAUAACAUAAUUUGUAUAUUUAUAUUAUAAAUAUACUUAAUAUGUUUCUUAAUACUUUGUAUAUUUAUAUAUAUGUGUAUAUGAUAUAUACAUGAUAUAAACUUUAUAUAUAACAUACUUUGUAUAUUUCUAUUAUAAAUAUAAUACUUUAUAUAUUUAUGGGUAUAAAUAUAAAUUUGUAGUAAAAUAAUGUCUUAAAUAAGGGAUAAAAAUAAUGAUUAUAAAUAUGAUACUUUAUAUAUUUAUGAAUAUAAAUAUAAAUUAGCAGUAAAAUAAUGUCUUAACUAAAGAAGAAAAUUAAAUAAAAGAUAAAACUAAUGAUGAGAGAGAAAAAGAGAUAUAUAUUAAUUAGAAUAACAUUAAAUUUGAAAUUAUAAUUAUCUUAUUCUUUAAAACUGCUAUAUACGUAAUAUUGAAAAAGUAAUGUUAUAAGGAGAGUUUUAUGUAAAAAUUUAAAAGAUUGAGGUUAUAUAUAAUAAUAAUAAAAGUUAGAAUUCAAAAAUUGUGAAAAUAAUAAAAGCCUGUUUUCCUUUUCAGAAAAAUUUUUUGAAAUUAUUUUUCGAAUUUUCAUGACCAAACACCACAAUUUUCAACUUUGAAAUUUUUUUUCAAAAAAGAGGAAAAAAUUUUCAUGGCCAAAGGGCCCUAAAUUAAUCCUGAAUAUAGAAGAAACAAUCAAAUACAAGUAAUUAAAUAAUAAAAAAAUAAAAGAUAAAAAUAAAAUAUGUCUUAUGUCUUUUGUCUUGAGGAGAUAUCAAAGAUUAACGGAGAAAUUUUAUUAUUAUUCAAAUAAUUUAUUAAUAUCGUAGAAUAAAAUAAAACCAAAACAUUCAACUAAAAUAGUCUAACUUGGAACCAAAUUAAAAAUGGCAAUUUCCAAAAAACUAAAUAAAAUUGUGAUGGUGAAUCAAAUCGUCUCUAAAAAGUUAUUUUUUUAAGAAAAUAAUGAAUCAUCAAUUGCAUAAGAUUUAAUCUUGAGUAAACAUCAACUGUGAGGAGUAAAACAUUGGAGAACAAAAUCAAUAUGUCCAAAAAAAAAUCACGAAAAAGAUCAAGCAGCCAUGAAAACAAACAUACAUAGAUUAUCGAAGAGAAAUUCAAGCAAAAUCAACCCAAAAUUAAUAAAAUAAUGUAAAAAUAGUCCAAAAUAAAAAUGGCGACACUUCAAAUUUAUUUCCACAAAACAUGCAAAAUAAUGGUAAAGCGAAAAGAAGAAGCUUUCACCGGGUUUUAAGUUUUUCCGGUAACAUGGUCAUGGUUUCCGGCCAAAUCUGAAAAUAAACAGAAAAAAAUAAUAGCAGUCAAAAGAGAAUGGAUCAUCGGUGUUGCUUCAACGGAUUUUACCGGAGCAACACCGGAGAGGAAUUUUCGACCAAAUCUGUUCCGGUCACUACCUCCGGCCAGGCAGCGGCGGUAGACGACAGAAAGAGAGGAAGCUGGGGCGGCAGAUGGUUUUUGUUGGUGGUUGAAACUCACCGGCCAUCAACUCCAGUGAGAUAGCGAAGAAAGUGAAUUAAUAAGGAGUUUGCAACUUGGGAUGGUGGUCGCCGGCGGUGGGAAAGAGAGCAAGGGGGGGGCACUGGUUGGAGGCUGGAAAGAGAGAUGAAAUGAGAGAGAGAAAGAAACAGAUUUUAUGUGUGUAUUUGUGGUGUUUGUGCGUCAGUGUGU
rnacentral:lncRNA from 1 species